rnacentral:rRNA from 1 species
AAAUUGAAGGGUUUGAUCCUGGCUCAGAAUGAACGUUGGCGGCGUGGAUUAGGCAUGCAAGUCGAGCGAGAACUCCGGUUCGCCGGAGGGACAGCGGCGAAAGGGACAGUAAUGUGUAGAUCAUCUGCCCUCAGGUCCGGGAUAGCUGUGGGAAACUGCAGGUAAUACCGGAUGAUAUCUCCGGAUCAAAGGUGUGAUUCCGCCUGGGGAUGAGUCUACAUCCUAUUAGCUUGUUGGUAGGGUAACGGCCUACCAAGGCAUUGAUGGGUAGCGGGUGUGAGAGCAUGACCCGCGUCAUUGGGACUGAGACACUGCCCAGACACCUACGGGUGGCUGCAGUCGAGAAUCUUCGGCAAUGGGCGCAAGCCUGACCGAGCGACGCCGCGUGCGGGAUGAAGGCCUUCGGGUUGUAAACCGCUGUCAGAGGGGAUGAAAUGCGUGGGGGUUCUCCCCCAUGUUUGACAUAGCCUCAGAGGAAGGACGGGCUAAGUUCGUGCCAGCAGCCGCGGUAAGACGAACCGUCCAAACGUUAUUCGGAAUCACUGGGCUUAAAGGGUGCGUAGGCGGCGCGGAAAGUUGGGUGUGAAAUCCCUCGGCUCAACCGAGGAACUGCGCCCAAUACUACCGUGCUCGAGGGAGAUAGAGGUGAGCGGAACUUAGGGUGGAGCGGUGAAAUGCGUUGAUAUCCUAAGGAACACCGGUGGCGAAAGCGGCUCACUGGAUCUCUUCUGACGCUGAG